rnacentral:rRNA from 1 species
GAUGAACGCUGGCGGCGUGCCUAAUACAUGCAAGUCGAGCGAACGGACGAGAAGCUUGCUUCUCUGAUGUUAGCGGCGGACGGGUGAGUAACACGUGGAUAACCUACCUCUAAGACUGGGAUAACUUCGGGAAACCGGAGCUAAUACCGGAUAAUAUUUUGAACCGCAUGGUUCAAAAGUGAAAGACGGUCUUGCUGUCACUUAUAGAUGGAUCCGCGCUGCAUUAGCUAGUUGGUAAGGUAACGGCUUACCAAGGCAACGAUGCAUAGCCGGGCUGAGAGGGUGAUCGGCCACACUGGAACUGAGACACGGUCCAGACUCCUACGGGAGGCAGCAGUAGGGAAUCUUCCGCAAUGGGCGAAAGCCUGACGGAGCAACGCCGCGUGAGUGAUGAAGGUCUUCGGAUCGUAAAACUCUGUUAUUAGGGAAGAACAUAUGUGUAAGUAACUGUGCACAUCUUGACGGUACCUAAUCAGAAAGCCACGGCUAACUACGUG